rnacentral:rRNA from 1 species
GCGCAGCAGGCGAGAAACUUCACAAUGUGCGAAAGCACGAUGAGGGAAUCCCAAGUGCUUGCACGUAAGUGUAAGCUGUUUCUCUGUCUAAAACGCAGAGAGAGUAAGGGCCGGGUAAGACGGGUGCCAGCCGCCGCGGUAAUACCUGCAGCUCGAGUGGUGACCGUUAUUAUUGGGCCUAAAACGUCCGUAGCCGGUUUAAUAAAGUGGCCUGGGUAAAUCGGACCGCUUAACGGUUCGAAUUCCGGGUAGACUGUUAAACUUGAGACCCGGGAGAAGUUAGAGGUACUCCUGGGGUAGAGGUGAAAUUCUGUAAUCCUAGGGGGACCACCAGUGGCGAAGGCGUCUAACUAGAACGGGUCUGACGGUGAGGGGACGAAG